AACGCCAUUGAACAGACUAAGACCUUCCAAUACUUAGGCAUUACUUUCUCUUAUAAUGCCAAAUUCUCAACACACUUGACCACAUCAGCUAUAUCAGCAGAAAGAAGUGCAAAUGCUAUCCUUAGAUUAUUCAGAAGGAAAGGAGCUGGCUUCCUCCCGAUGGCCCUAACAGUCUUUCAGGCAAAAUCUUUAGCCCAACUUCUAUAUGGCUCUCAAAUUAGCCCCUCUGCCAACCUUAAGACCUUUGAAACAGUACAAUCUAAAUUCUUAAGAUCAUUAUUUGCUACUCCUAAGUGUACACCUAAUGCAGUCUUAAGGCAAGAGGCAGGACUGCCCAGAGUGGAAUUAAAAGUCUGGGAACAAGCAAUAUCCCUCUGGCUGAAAAUCCAUUACAAUCCUAAGGGUCUAUUACCUUGCUUCCUGGCCGCAGUUCCCUAUCCUCCUUGGCUUAUGCAAAUAACUAACAAGAUCAAACAAAUUGGCCUAAACCCUGAAAAUAUUUUUAUUGGAACUCUGAACAAGGCAAAAGCUACUAUCACUCGGAGACUUUAUGAUAUCGAAUUACAACAAGAAGGCGCCCUACUCCCAGAGACGUAUAGAUGUUUAAAAGCUUGGCCUAAUUUUGCAGCUGCCCCUUACUUAACUAACAUCACUAACGAAACCUAUAGAUGGGCUUUCUCUAGAGCCCGCUUUGAGACAAUGCCCUCAGCAGUGCUGUACGGCAAAUUCACGCGAGUUCCAAUGCAUGCGCGUCUCUGCCCUUGUAUGUCUAAUAAGGUAGAAUCUGUCACACACAUUCUUCUAUCUUGCGAAUUCUAUAGUGAAGAACGAGUUCAACUUAUUUUACCACUUCUAUCAAAAUUUAUACCCCUUCAAUAUUAUUUGGAAUCCUCCCCUGAAAUUCUUCGAAAAUACCUCCUGGAAGAUUCCUCAAGCUCAGUAUCAUAUGAGGUGGCUAAAUUUUGCACUUUAGUAAUUAAGAAGCGUAAAUCUCUUCUGUUGAAUGGCACACUGGGAAGUUCUCUUGUGUAACCUUUUUUCUUUUCUAAAGUUGUUGCUGUUUUCUUGUUGUCUGAUCUUAUGGUGUUUAGUGUCACUGGCUUUGGCCGCAAUAAACUUGAA